AUUAACGCUGGCGGCGUGCAUAACACAUGCAAGUCGCACGAUGAAACUUUACUGACUUCUUCGGAAUGAUUUAAAGCGGAUUAGUGGCGAACGGGUGAGUAACGCGUGAGUAACCUGCCUUACACAAGGGGAUAGCCUCUGGAAACGGAGAAUAAUACCCUAUGAAACCAGACAAUCGCAUGAUAAUCUGGUCAAAAUGUUUAGUGGUGUAAGAUGGACUUGCGUCUGAUUAGCUAGUUGGUGAGAUAAAAGCUCACCAAGGCAACGAUCAGUAGCCGGCUUGAGAGAGUGUACGGCCACAUUGGGACUGAGACACGGCCCAGACUCCUACGGGAGGCAGCAGUGGGGAAUUUUGCACAAUGGGGGAAACCCUGAUGCAGCGACGCCGCGUGAUUUAGAAGGCCUUCGGGUUGUAAAAAUCUUUUGUAUAGGAAGAAAAUGACAGUACUAUACGAAUAAGGUCCGGCUAAUUACGUG
rnacentral:rRNA from 1 species